rnacentral:rRNA from 1 species
UACGUAGGGUGCGAGCGUUAAUCGGAAUUACUGGGCGUAAAGCGUGCGCAGGCGGUUUCACAAGCUCGAUGUGAAAGCCCCGGGCUUAACCUGGGAAUGGCAUUGAGGACUGUGGAGCUCGAGUGCGGCAGAGGGAGGUGGAAUUCCACGUGUAGCAGUGAAAUGCGUAGAGAUGUGGAGGAACACCGAUGGCGAAGGCAGCCUCCUGGGCCGACACUGACGCUCAUGCACGAAGGCGUGGGGAGCGAACGGG